CCUACGGGUCGCAGCAGUGGGGAAUAUUGGACAAUGGGCGAAAGCCUGAUCCAGCAAUGCCGCGUGUGUGUAGAAGGUCCUCGGAUUGUAAAGCACUUUCGACGGGGACGAUGAUGACGGUACCCGUAGAAGAAGCCCCGGCUAACUUCGUGCCAGCAGCCGCGGUAAUACGAAGGGGGCUAGCGUUGCUCGGAAUGACAGGGCGUAAAGGGCGCGUAGGCGGUUUAUGCAGUCAGAUGUGAAAUCCCCGGGCUUAACCUGGGAACUGCAUUUGAGACGCAUAGACUAGAGGUCGAGAGAGGGUUGUGGAAUUCUCAGUGUAGAGGUGAAAUUCGUAGAUAUUCGGAGGAACACCAGUGGCGAAGGCGGCUUACUGGUCUGCAACUGACGCUGAGGCGCGAAAGCGUGGGGAGCAAACAGGAUUAGAUACCCCGGUAGUC
rnacentral:rRNA from 1 species